rnacentral:tRNA from 1 species
GCAGUGAUGGUUCAGUGGUAGAAUCCUUGCCUUCCAUGCAGGAGAUCCAGGUUUGAUUCCCGGCCAGUGCA